UUGCUACGAAAGCAUGGCGCAAUCUGGGCACAGAAGUCAGAGCCACGCCUAUCUCCCCGCCAGCUCUUGCGGAUACGGGAAUGGUGCAGUUUUGGAGCUCGGCGAGGUUGGUUCCUUACUCUGUCGGAACCUGCUCUUGAACAGAUGAUGCCCAUUCCUCAGUCCUUGUUCCUUCAAACCUGAGUCGUCACACGAAAAAAGAUAAGUCACUUGGCUGCUUUUGGGUGCACUUUUAUUGCAUUCUAUUCUCAGGGGAUACUCUGCAUGGCGUGGAUAACUUCUCUGGAGAACAAAAGAAAACAUUCUUGAAAACGCAAAUCAUUUCUUGGAAUCAGUAUUGUCUUAAUGCAGGCUCCAUGGAGUAGAGUUUAUACUUUUCUUUUUCUUUUUUCUUUUUGAGUUGGGAGGUUACCUCCAGAGUUUGUUUGAAAUUUGAAGUUCCUCAAAGUCUUCUCCGUGGAGUGCGUGAUCUCAGUUUGUAUUAAAGAAAGGUGCUGCAAGUCUAAGUGUGCUUUAGGAUAGUGCUAGAAACAAUGUGGAAACAGUUAUUCAAUGAAUGGGAGGCAACUUUUUAUUUCUCAUCAAGUUGGGAGUUUUUCUUUCUCCAAUCUUUUACAAAUAUGUCUUUGUUUUAUAUCAAUCAAAUCAAUGUAGAUUUUUAAUUUC